AACGUAGGUGGCAAGCGUUAUCCGGAUUCACUGGGCGUAAAGCGCGUGCAGGUGGCUUCGUAAGUUGGACGUUAAAUCUUUCGGCUUAACCGGGAGUGGUCGUUCAAUACUGCGGGGCUUGAGGGCAGAAGAGGGGGGUGGAAUUGCCGGUGUAGUGGUGAAAUGCGUAGAUAUCGGCAGGAACACCUGUGGCGAAAGCGGCCCCCUGGUCUGCUCCUGACACUCAGACGCGAAAGCCAGGGUAGCGAAC
rnacentral:rRNA from 1 species